UGAGGCAGUCCAACAGCAGAAGUAUUUCAGGAUGUGGGCUGAAGAGCAGAGUGAGAUGAUACAGGAGAGACUCCAAACCAAGAGAAGCACACAGAGGAUUCAGCAUUGAAAACCAAACCCAGGCAGAGCUCACAGACACAGGAGACUUGCAAGGAGCAGAUCUGGCUGGGAGCAGAGGCAUUGCUUGUACUCCUGCCUCAAAGUGCUCGGUGACAGGGCACAUCAGGAACGCCUAGACAAGCCCUAGCACAAGAAACCCAGGGAAUCCACCCUGAAAAUACUUAAAGCUAGCCACAUCAUCCAAGAGAAGGGCUUCAGUAACGGUCUGGAAGCAUCCAUGAAGAUUAUAUUUGCCUCCUUCUUAAACAUUGCCAUCUGAGAAGUCUGCCUUGCAGCUAGAAAUCAGGAUAUUCGUGGGAGCUGAAUGGGAAAGAUAAUUUAUAUAUUCUUUUUUUUUUUUUCAAAAGUUGUACCACUUCAUAGGGGCAAGCCUGUUGAAGAUCCACAAGCAAUCAGAUGAAGUGAAGGAUUUAGCAGAAAAUUGGAAGAACAAGACUCUUUUUGCAUCAGAUGAAGGGAAGCUGAGAACCUGGGAGAAGUGAACUGAUGCCCCUGGAAAUCUGACCAGGUACUCUGAUAUUUGAAGAUCGAACCAAAUGUCAGGUCCUUCCUACUGACAGACUUCAGGACUGUGGGAACAGCUCUGGGGAACUAUCACGUCAUGGCUUCCAAAAGCAACACUAUAACAAACAACUAUUAUUGAGAAUUCUUGUAGUUACGUCCUCCAGCAAAGCUCUGAACCCCUCCAAGUCAUCCAUGACUAUCUCAGCUAGAUCUUCUGGAUUAACACUGCAGCUUCCACACCAGCACUUGGAUUGUUACGGAGACAACGCCUUUCCUUACACCUCAGGAACCCACCUCUGCCAGCUUCAAACUUUUCUUCUGCAGCUUCCUCACCUCUCUCAGUCUUAACAGAAUUGAAGAGUCAGGCUCUUGGGGCAUGUGGGUGGCUCAGUCGGUUGGGCGGCUGCCUUGGGCUCCUGUCAUGAUCCCAGGGUCCUGAG